rnacentral:rRNA from 1 species
AUUGAACGCUGGCGGCAGGCCUAACACAUGCAAGUCGAGCGAGCGGCGGACGCGUGAGUAAUGUCUGAGGAUCUGCCCGAUAGAUGGGGAUAACUACUGAACACGGUGGCUAACAACGCAUACUAUAGGAUGAACCCAUAUGGGAUUAUCUAGUAGGUGGGGUAAAGGCACACCGAGGCGACGAUCUCUAGCUGGUCUGAGAGGACGAUCGCCCACAUGGGAAAUGAGACACGGCCCAGACUCGUACGGGAGGCAGCAGUGGGAAAUAGUGCAAAAUGGGCGCAAGCCUGAUGCAGCCAUGCCGCGUGUAUGAAGAAGGCCGUAGGGUUGUAAAGUACUUUCAGCGGGGAGGCGUUACCCGCAGAAGAAGCACAGGCUAACUCCGUGCCAGCCGCCGCGGUAAUUC